ACAAGAAAGAUAGAGCUUACCUUCAACAUCCUCCCCUUCCAUCAAAAUACUUUCAUACUUGGUUUUAAUCGAGAUUAAAGUAAUGAUAAACAUCAAAUGUAACGCCCGUGAACCAGAAAAUCGGUUAGGGUUUGUUUUUAAAUUAUCCGGUUUAAUUGUUUGGGUUAAUUGGAAACCGUAGAGUGUGCCUAUGAAAGAAGGAAACUCGAAAUUAGGGCUUUAGUUAGCUACUUUUCGUUUUAUAAAGGAGAAAAGGAGAAGGAGCAGAAUCGUUAGGGUUUGGGAGAAAUCAGUUUCGUCAAAUCAAAUCGUGGUAAAAGGUAACCAAAUUUGGUAGAGUUAUUUCCAAGUCCUUUAUCGUUAUUCUCCAGUUUAUAGAAUUGGAUUUAGAUUAAAAUUGGUUGAGUUAUUCGCAGUUUCGUAAGACACGUUUUCUCAGACGCGAAUUAGGACCAGCGGAGAUUGAAACUGAGAUCGUGGUCUCGUCUGUUUUCCGAUUGGCACGAGAUUUUGUGGGCAGCUUUGUGACGUCUGCAGCUAGGAGUUCACCGGAGCGAUUGAAUAGUUAACGGUUAGCUUGUAUUUUAGGGUUUCGUCUUUGAGACUGCUUGUUUCUGGUUUUUCCUGUCCAGUUUGCUUCAAGGUUGCUUUUGGUUGUGGACUUGUUGUAGGACGUUUCUGGACUUUUUUGGACGCAAGGAGAGUCUCUCCUGGGUUUAAUUGCUAUUGGAAUCAAU
rnacentral:sRNA from 1 species